rnacentral:rRNA from 1 species
AGGAAAUAGAUACCCAGGUAGUCCAUGCUGUAAACGAUGGAUGCUAGCUGUGAUGCGUAUCGACCCGCGUCGUAGCGAAGCUAACGCGUUAAGCAUCCCGCCUGUGGAGUACGGCCGCAAGGCUAAAACAUAAAGGAAUUGACGGGGACCCGCACAAGCGGUGGAGCGUGUUGUUUAAUUCGAUGGUAAGCGAAGAACCUUACCCAGGUUUGACAUCCUUGGAAGUUCUGCGAAAGCAGAGUGUGCCUUCGGGAACCAAGUGACAGGUGAUGCAUGGCCGUCUUCAGCUCGUGUCGUGAGACGUUAGGUUAAGUCCUUCAACGAGCGCAACCCUUAUAGUUAGUUGUAUUUUCUAGCUAGACUGCCCUGGUAACAGGGAGGAAGGAGGGGACGAUGUCAGGUCAGUAUCUCCCUUAUAUCUGGGGCUACAAACACGCUACAAUGGCCGGUAC